GACCCGUUAGCUCAGUCGGUAGAGCAUCUGACUUUUAAUCAGGGGGUCCCGCGUUCGAGUCGCGGACGGGUCACCA
rnacentral:tRNA from 1 species